UUAAUAAGUCUUCAGAGCUUUGUAAGAGCUCAUCAUAAUUUGCUGU
rnacentral:tRNA from 2 species